UGAAAGCUUUUGAUUCGAU
rnacentral:snRNA from 1 species